rnacentral:rRNA from 1 species
GACGAACGCUGGCGGCGUGCUUAACACAUGCAAGUCGAACGAGGCUUACUGGAGGGUAACCGAAGGAAAGCCGAGUGGCGGACGGGUGCGUAACGCGUGAACAAUCUGUCCCUAUCAGGGGGAUACCAUCUGGAAACAGAUGCUAAUACCGCAUGGGACCACGGUAUCACAUGAUACUGAGGUGAAAGGAGCAAUCCGGGCAGGGGUGAGUUCGCGUCUGAUUAGCUAGUUGGUGAGGUAAAGGCCCACCAAGGCAACGAUCAGUAGCCGAUCUGAGAGGAUGACCGGCCACACUGGAACUGAGAGACGGUCCAGACUCCUACGGGAGGCAGCAGUGGGGAAUAUUGGGCAAUGGGCGAAAGUCUGACCCAGCAACGCCGCGUGAGGGAAGAAGGUUUUCGGAUUGUAAACCUCUGCCGCAGGGGACGAUAAUGACGGUACCCUGUGAGGAAGCCCCGGCUAACUACGUGCCAGCCGCCGCCGUAAAAC